AGAACGAACGCUGGCGGCACGCCUAACACAUGCAAGUCGAGCGCCCAGCAAUGGGAGCGGCGGACGGGUGAGGAACACGUGGGAACAUGCCUUUCGGUUCGGCACAACUGCGGGAAACUGCAGCUAAUUCCGGAUACGCCCUUACGGGGAAAGAUUUAUCGCCGAAAGAUUGGCCCGCGUCUGAUUAGCUAGUUGGUGAGGUAAUGGCUCACCAAGGCUUCGAUCAGUAGCUGGUUUGAGAGAACGACCAGCCACACUGGGACUGAGACACGGCCCAGACUCCUACGGGAGGCAGCAGUGGGGAAUCUUGGACAAUGGAGGAAACUCUGAUCCAGCGAUGCCGCGUGAGUGAUGAAGGCCUUCGGGUUGUAAACUCUUUCGACGGGGACGAUAAUGACGGUACCCGUAGAAGAAGCUCCGGCUAACUCGUGCCAGCAGCCGC
rnacentral:rRNA from 1 species